GGGCAGAACCUGAUAUGUAAGUAAGUUGAGCAAACAAAGUGUCUUUCGAUGACCGAAUGAUCAUUCCAGACACUGCUUCUGUUGAGAGAGAAAUUAAAGGCUGGUUGAAUGAGUUCCCUAUGAGAGGCUACUUCAUCUACAAGAAAACAGGCGGCCGCACCAGUUUCCUCAUAUGAAAUUAAAAGGGUCAGUGCUCUAAAAUGAGUCUCUCUGGGGAGAGAGAGGAGGUGGGCCCUGCCUCUAAAAUGAGUCUCUCUGGGGAGAGAGGGGAGGUGGGCCCUGCCUCUAAAAUGAGUCUCUCUGGGGAGAGAGAGGAGGUUGGCCUUGCCUCUAAAAUGAGACUCUCUGGGGAACAUGACACCACAGCUAAAAGUCCAAUCAAGCAGGAGAGACCAGCCUCCACUGUGCCCAGCGGUGUGUCCAUGAAGAGUGACCGGUCUAUGGGUAUACCUAUAAUGUUUAGAGAGG